UACGUAGGGUGCAAGCGUUGUCCGGAAUUACUGGGCGUAAAGGGCGCGUAGGCGGCCGUUUGCGUCGGAUGUGAAAGCCCGGGGCUCAACCUCGGAACGGCAUUCGAUACGGGACGGCUGGAGACCGGGAGAGGAGAGUGGAAUAGCCAGUGUAGAGGUGAAAUUCGUAGAUAUUGGCUGGAACACCGGUGGCGAAAGCGGCUCUCUGGCCCGGUUCUGACGCUGAGGCGCGAAAGCGUGGGGAGCAAACAGG
rnacentral:rRNA from 1 species